rnacentral:rRNA from 1 species
AACGAACGCUGGCGGCAGGCUUAACACAUGCAAGUUGAACGGGAUUUGUAUGGUGCUUGCACUAUAUAAUGAGAGUAGCGCACUGGUGAGUAACACGUGGGAACAUACCUUGAAGUGGGGAACAACAGUUGGAAACGACUGCUAAUACCGCAUACGCCCUAAGGGGAAGAUUUAUCGCUUUAAGAUUGGCCCGCGGAAGAUUAGGUAGUUGGUGAGGUAACGGCCCACCAAGGCGACGAUCAGUAGCCGGCCUGAGAGGGUGACCGGCCACAUUGGGACUGAGACACGGCCCAAACUCCUACGGGAGGCAGCAGUGGGGAAUAUUGCACAAUGGGGGAAACCCUGAUGCAGCAACGCCGCGUGAGUGAAGAAGUAUUUCGGUAUGUAAAGCUCUAUCAGCAGGGAAGAAAAUGACGGUACCUGACUAAGAAGCCCCGGCUAACUACGUG